rnacentral:rRNA from 1 species
GACGAACGCUGGCGGCGUGCUUAACACAUGCAAGUCGAACGGAAAGGCCCUGCUUUUGUGGGGUGCUCGAGUGGCGAACGGGUGAGUAACACGUGAGUAACCUGCCCUUGACUUUGGGAUAACUUCAGGAAACUGGGGCUACUACCGGAUCGUAGCUCCUGCUGCAUGGUGGGGGUUGGAUAGUUUCGGCGGUUGGGGAUGGACUCGCGGCUUAUCAGCUUGUUGGUGGGGUAGUGGCUUACCAAGGCUUUGACGGGUAGCCGGCCUGAGAGGGUGACCGGCCACAUUGGGACUGAGAGACGGCCCAGACGCCUACGGGAGGCAGCAGUGGGGAAUAUUGCACAAUGGGCGGAAGCCUAAUGCAGCAACGCCGCGUGCGGGAUGACGGCCUUCGGGUUGUAAACCGCGUUCGCCUGUGACGAAGCGUGAGUGACGGUAAUGGGUAAAGAAGCACCGGCUAACUACGUG